rnacentral:rRNA from 1 species
CCUACGGGAGGCAGCAGUGAGGAAUAUUGGUCAAUGGCCGCAGGUCUGAACCAGCCAAGUCGCGUGAGGGAUGACGGUCCUAUGGAUUGUAAACCUCUUUUGUCAGGGAGCAAAGUGCGCCACGUGUGGCUUUUUGCGAGUACCUGAAGAAAAAGCAUCGGCUAACUCCGUGCCAGCAGCCGCGGUAAUACGGAGGAUGCGAGCGUUAUCCGGAUUUAUUGGGUUUAAAGGGUGCGCAGGCGGACUGUCAAGCCGGCGGUAAAAUUUCGGGGCUCAACCCCGUCGUGCCGUUGAAACUGGCGGUCUUGAGUGAGCGAGAGGUAGGCGGAAUGCGUGGUGUAGCGGUGAAAUGCAUAGAUAUCACGCAGAACUCCGAUUGCGAAGGCAGCAUACCGGAGCGCAACUGACGCUGAAGCACGAAAGCGUGGGUAUCGAACAGGAUUAGAUACCCCAGUAGUC